rnacentral:tRNA from 1 species
AGGUCUUUAGCUCAGUUGGUAGAGCAUUUGUCUUACAAACAAGGUGUCAUCGGUUCAAAUCCGGUAAGGCCUA